GCUAUCGCGUUUUCAAUUGACAGUGCCUUCUUGUGGACAUUACGAGUACUAGUGAUACGAAAGUUGGGACUCGGACCUGACGCACCUCUGUCGGAAUCGUUCUAGCUGAAUCGAUCGACGCUCUACACGAUUCUUGCCGUUAGUUGAUGUGAUCGAUGGGUCUUCCAAAGUGCAACGGAUGGGAAGAAAGUCGGUUUGAGAAGGCGAGCGAUGGAAGAUAAAGCGGUAUUUUACGAAUACUAUUCGGUAACUUCAUUAGAAAAGGGUUCCAAGUAUCGUAAUCACGACGGAGAUGAGAAUGACUCGAGCGAAUGUAAAUAGAGGAGAUAGAUAAGGAAAAGAAAGUCUUUCAAAAUCUUCGUCUCGGUGAAAGUUAAGAUCGAACAGCAGUCUGAUAGUUCAAUGUUUUAGAAAAUGCGUUCCUGUGCGAAUAUUCUUUCAAACGUAAACGAAUUUAUAAAAUUUGACUGCAAAUCUGGGAAAGAUAACUUUUAUGUGAUAGGGAUUAUCUAAUUGAGUAUACUUAUUUUAAUUUGUAUCGUUUUUCUAUAAUGAUUUGAUAAUAAAUUAGGAAACCUAUUAAUUAACAAAAAAUUAAUUUACAUAAUAUUUUUAACAAUGCAGAAAAUAUUACAUGUUAUUCUUAAGGAAUAUUACUGUUAUUUAUUUCAUGAUACGUGCUAUAAUUUUAAUAUGUCGCUGUGAAAGGAUUUUUUAACAAGGAAACAUUGAUGCACAAAUAUUUAACAAACAAAGAACGAAGACACCGAUCAUUAUUAAAUCGUGCGAAGAAUUGCCUGUAGAUAGACAACCCAUUCUACUGCUAUGUCGUUUGUACAGCAAUGGAAUCAGUGAGACAAUAGGUUCCUGUUUCGCAAUUUUGCUUCACCACAAAUAUCACGAUUAAGCGCACGUGGUAAGGAUGUACAGUAGUACUAUAAUGUAGAAAGUUGAAAUGUCAGGUACAAGUUAAAUGAUGUAGUUCGUGUCGUACUAAAUCAACAAAUCAAUCUACCGGCACGAUAUAAUGUAUAAUAACACAAUGUAAAAGGUUUCAAAUGUUUGACGUCAAUUUACCACGUUAACUUCGACUUACAGUGUCUGAUCAAGAAACGAACAUAAAGUAUUUCUUAAUUUACUUUUCUACGUUAUUUACGUAGUUCCUAAAAUGACAAGAUUGAAAUAUAAAGUUUAUUUAUAAAUUUUAUAAACUUUUGUAA